CGACCUGCAACAUACAGACACGAUAUUCAUUGGCACGAAAAAAUGGACGACAGUAAAUAGUAUGUAUUAUGUGUCAUAGAAUACAACAGAGGAGGCAUAUUAUUUAUCGUGAAAUCCAUUCUUAUCAUGCUCUUUCUUUUUCUUCCUUUUUUCAUCAUGCAGAAACAAGAGAGACGAUCCGUUGACGUACUCAUUCAAAGGAAAAGAAGAAGAAAAAU
rnacentral:ribozyme from 14 species